CGUGGAGGAGGUUUGUUUCAGUCACAUGCUGUGAAGGGCCAGAGUCAUUCUCCUUCUCACUCCAGGCGUAAACCUGAGAGUAGUAGUUCCUGCUAUUUCCGGCAGACACCUAAAGCAUCAGUUAACACAGGGGAGCGGAUCAUCCACCAUCCUGAUCAGAAAAAAGAUAGACUGAAGAAUAGAGACCACAAAACCUCCUAUUGUAGCGACAUGUCCAUACAGAAAGUACAGAAAUUAAGCACCCCUCACCACAAAAGUAAUCCAGAGGGCAGGAUGUCCCUGUCUGUAAAGAGGAAAAGGGAGGGUAGUACAGAAAAUAAGAAGGAAAAGAAACGCCCAUGUGUUGAUUUCCAAUCCACUACCAGCUCUUCCAAACAUGCUUUCAUGAAGGGCAACAAUGAGUCUGUGAUAACUAUAAAGGAGAAACAGUCCCAUAAAAUACUUUCUGCUGCACCAAACAGCAACAACAAACCCAGACUUCCGCCUUCCCUCCCCAGGCAGCUGUUUAAACCAUGUAAGGACUCAAACAAAGCAAGCGACAAACCUAACUCAUUUCAACUCAGUAAAUCACCCUUGAUUGCAGAGCCAAAAGUCGCUAUGGUGGCACAUGCUAACAAAAAUCCCAAAGCUCCACCCAGCCAACCGCAUUUACGCAAAGUCUCUCCGAAGUCGAGCACAACGUUCGACAGCAUCGAGACACCACUCAUUACACCAGACUGUUGCUUACCAUCGCUCAAAACUCAUAAUAAAAAAACAAAUGCUGAGAGAGAAACUUGCACACAAACAAGCCCCUCUUCCAACCAUAAGGAGAGCGUUAAAAUUGUCUCGUCCCCCCAUCAUCCCGAUCUAAGAUCACCCUGCUUUGCAGGACAAGCCGGUUCAUGUAAGAUGCAAACGGAUGAAAGGACGCAGUUGAAAGUGGAGCAGUCAUGCAGCCCCAAGGCUAUCAUGCCUGACCCAGCAGUGUCGGUGAAUAUAGAAGGAUCAAGAGAACAGAAGUGCUGCCCCCAGUGGAAAGAUCCCUUAGAUAUUGAGUUGGGAGACGACUGCCAUAUCAGUCUGAGCAGCAGCAGCAGUGGUCAUGAAGAUGAACCGCUGCCAUCUCUGCAGAAGCUGAUGAGUCGGAGAGACCAUGUGCCUGUUACUCCCGAAAAAGAUGCUUUUUCAGAGCCCAACACACCUGUCUCAAAAGCAGCACCCGAGGCAGUGAAAACCAAAGCUGCUAGUUAUAGAAAUACACUGGAGCAGAUGCUGAAAGAGAAGGAACAAUAUCAGAGGUGGGUCUCAAAACCUCAUUUGUUUUUUCCCCCCAACUUGAUUCUCUGCAUGUCUCAUUAUGUGCUUGGCAGCCUUUGGUUUGUAGUAGUGCUUUGGAUAUCAAUGAUUGAGAGGUCAAAAUCUUAA
rnacentral:lncRNA from 12 species